CCAAUCAUCUAUCCCCUGAGAGCCCAGCGGGAGGGACAAGGAUUGCGAUAUAAACCCAGGCCUUCCAGCAGGCAAUGGCAACCCCCUUUGGGUCCCCUCCCUUUAUAUGGGAGCUCUGUUUUCACCCUAUUAAAUCUUGCAACUGCACUUUUCUGGUCCAUGUUUGUUACAGCUUGAGCUGAGCUUUCGCUCGCCAUCCACCACUGCUGUUUGCCGUUGUGCCGGACCCGCCACUGACUUCUAUCCCUCCGGAUCCGGCAGGGUGUCUGCUGUGCUCCUGAUCCAGCGAGGCGCCCAUUGCUGCUCCCGAUCAGGCUAAAGGCUUGCCAUUGUUCCUGCACGGCUAAGUGCCUGGGUUCGUCCUAAUCGAGCUGAACACUAGUUACUGGGUUCCAUGGUUCUCUUCUGUGAUCCAUGGCUUCUAAUAGAGGUAUAACACUCACCUGGCAUGGCCCAGGAUUCCAUUCCUUGGGAUCCGUGAGGCCAAGAACCCCAGGUCAGAGAACACGAGGCUUGCCACCAUCUUGGAAGCGGCCCACCACCAUCUUGGAAGCUGCUAGCCACCAUCUUGGAAGUUCUGUGAACAAGGACCCCCGGUAACAUUUUGGCGACCACGAAGGGACCUCCAAAGUGACAGAUGGAGGCUCUCUCUCUGUGCAACUGGGGGUGUGGUGAUGCAAAUAUCCUUCUGGCCACCGCCACUGGGGCCGUGCUGGGUCAGACCUGAAGGCAGCACAGCACUGGAUUUCACCUGAGGCCCUCUAUAAUCACUACCCGGCUGCCACCUAUGUUCACUCAAGACCCUAUGUUCAUUCAACGGCUCUAUAAUCAGCAGAUGGCAAAUCCAGCCAGGUUCAUGUGCUUCCCUUCAGGAUGGUGAGUUUCCCUAGGCCCCAGGCAGGUCAAGAGAUGUUGUCUGGGAGCCAGGGAUUACAGUUAAAAACCUUGGUAAUUGCUUGAUGUUCUGUUUUACUGUUGGUAAGCUGGUACUCAAACCACAACACAAAGUCCUGUCCUCUCUUCCCUUCCCUUUCCUCAGGCACAGGAGCCUCUCUCUGUGGCCACCACACCCACUGGCCCAUGAGGGGUUCUGCCAGACCACUGAUGAUGUUCACUUAAAGUCCAAGGGCACUUCAGUCAGCUUGUGUUGAAUGUUGCCAGGCCUGGGACUCACCCUUCAGGACAGUAGGCUCCUCUCUGGACCUAGGGCAGGUCCAGAAAUGCCAUCCAAGAGCCUAGGCCUAGACUAGGGGACCCCAAGAACUUGCUUGUGGCUCUACCCCACUGUGGCCAAGCUGGUACCUAAAAGUGCAAGACAAAGUCCCCUUUAUUUUUCCCUCUGCUUUCCUCAAACAGGAAUCUUUUGCCUGUAGCCACCACACCUGGGAAUGUAUUGGGUCCCAUCUGAAGUCAGCAUGUCUCAGAGCCCAGGGUCCACGGUGUACUACGUGGGUAUCACUGCUAGUUAUUCAGGGCCUGAGAGCUCUUUAGCCAGCAAGUAAUGAAUCCUGCUGGGACUGGGUCCUUCCAUUCAGGACAGUGGGCUCCCCUUUGGCCCAGGGUGUAUCUAGAAACGUCAUCUAUAAGCUAGGGCCUGGGAUGGGGGCCUGAUGAUUCUGCCUGGUGCCCUCUACUGUGACUAAGCUCGUAUUCAAGAUGCAAGACAAAGUCCUCUUUACUAUUUACUUUUCUCUCCUUAAGCAGAA
rnacentral:lncRNA from 1 species